ACGGGGGGGGCAAGCGUUGUUCGGAAUUACUGGGCGUAAAGGGCUCGUAGGCGGCCAACUAAGUCGGAUGUGAAAUCCCCAGGCUCAACCUGGGAACUGCAUCCGAUACUGGAUGGCUUGAAUUCGGGAGAGGGAUGCAGAAUUCCAGGUGUAGCGGUGAAAUGCGUAGAUAUCUGGAGGAAUACCGGUGGCGAAGGCGGCAUCCUGGACCGAGAUUGACGCUGAGGAGCGAAAGCUAGGGGAGCAAACGGGAUUAGAUACCCCGGUAGUCCUAGCCCUAAACGAUGAAUGCUUGGUGUAGCGGGUAUCGAUCCCUGCUGUGCCGAAGCUAACGCAUUAAGCAUUCCGCCUGGGGAGUACGGUCGCAAGGCUG
rnacentral:rRNA from 1 species